CCCCUAGAUGUUCUGGGCCGCACGCGCGCUACACUGAACAGUUCAACAAGUCUUAACCUUGGCCGAUAGGUCUGGGUAAUCUUUGAACGCUGUUCGUGAUUGGGAUAGACCUUUGCAAUUAUGGGUCUUCAACGAGGAAUUCCUAGUAAACGCAAGUCAUCAGCUUGCAUUGAUUACGUCCCUGCCCUUUGUACACACCGCCCGUCGCACCUACCGAUUGGGUGCUCCGGUGAAUUGUUUGGACUGCUGUCAGUCUUUUCGGCCGUCGGCGAGAAGCUCUGUGAACCUUAGCACCUAGAGGAAGGAGAAGUCGUAACA
rnacentral:rRNA from 1 species